rnacentral:tRNA from 1 species
GUAGGUAUCGUUCAGUGGUAGAGCACUUCCCUAGCAUGGAAGAGACUCUGGGUUUGAUUCCCACCACCACA